CUUGGUCAUUUAGAGGAAGUAAAAGUCGUAACAAGGUUUCCGUAGGUGAACCUGCGGAAGGAUCAUUAGUGAACGCCCUCACGGGCUUAUAACUAUUCCAAACCUCUGUGAACCGUGCCCUUCGGGGCUAUUUUACAAACAUGGUGUAAUGAACGUCAUAUAUCAUAACAAAACAAAACUUUCAACAACGGAUCUCUUGGCUCUCGCAUCGAUGAAGAACGCAGCGAAAUGCGAUAAGUAAUGUGAAUUGCAGAAUUCAGUGAAUCAUCGAAUCUUUGGACGCACCUUGCGCCCUCUGGUAUUCCGGAGGGCAUGCCUGUUUGAGUGUCAUGUAGACUCAAUCCCUCGGGUUUCCGAGGAGAUUGGACUUGGGUGUUGCCGCUCUGCCGGCUCGCCUUAAAAGACUUAGCGGGAUAGCACCGUAGUCGGCGUAAUAAGUUUCGUCGGUGAAGGUUGUGAUGACUGCUUACAAUCGCCCUCGGGCAAUUUUUGACUCUGACCUCAAAUCAGGUAGGACUACCCGCUGAACUUAAGCAUAUCAAUAAGCGGAGGA
rnacentral:rRNA from 1 species